AUGCAGUCACAUAGCAUGGUCAACAAAAUUGGUAAACAUUUCAAUUAUUUUAUAGACGAGGGCCAGAAGAAGAGACAAAGAAGGAGAAGGAGGUGGAACAAGAUGCGAAGGAAGGAAGGAAGGAAGGGAAGGAGGAAAGGAGGAAGGAGGGAGAGAGAUCUGAAGCCAAAACAGAUGAGCUACAGGAGUGUUUCCGGAGAACAACGAAUCCAAUUUAGUGUGUUUACCCAUGGAAGCUGCAGCUAGCAGUAUGCACAGCUGCUGAGGCGGAGAUAACUUCGGCAGUAAUAAAUGAGUGAAGCUCUUUAUCCCA
ensembl:lncRNA